rnacentral:rRNA from 1 species
UACAGAGGGGGCGAGCGUUGUUCGGAAUUACUGGGCGUAAAGGGCGCGUAGGCGGCCCGCUAAGUCGAACGUGAAAUCCCCAGGCUCAACCUGGGAACUGCGUCCGAUACUGGCAGGCUUGAAUCCGGGAGAGGGAUGUGGAAUUCCAGGUGUAGCGGUGAAAUGCGUAGAUAUCUGGAGGAACACCGGUGGCGAAGGCGGCAUCCUGGACCGGUAUUGACGCUGAGGCGCGAAAAGCUAGGGGGAGCAAAUGGGG